rnacentral:RNase_P_RNA from 1 species
AGUUGGCCGGUUUGUCGCUUGUGCUUCGGCGCAGGAGGAAAGUCCGGGCAACAUAGAGCGUCCCACUUCCUAACAGAAAGCUGUCCGUGAGGGUAGAGUAACGUAGAAGAAAAUAACCGCCACUCUUCGAAAGAAGAGCGGUAAGGGUGAGAAGGUGGGGUAAGAGCCCACCAGCCAUACGGCGACGUAUUGGGCUGUGCGUCUUGGGAGUUGUAAGGUCAUGUAUACCGGCGUUAUGAGAGUAGCUCGCUCCAUGUCGGAGGGUAGACCGCUAAAGUGCCGUGGUGACACGUCACUCAGAUAAAUGACAGACACCUUAUAUCUAUAAGGUACAGAACUCGGCUUAUAGGCUGGCUGCU